UUUCCAGACUCCUACGGGAGGCAGCAGUGGGGGAUAUUGCACAAUGGGGGGAACCCUGAUGCAGCGACGCCGCGUGAGUGAAGAAGUGUUUCGGUAUGGAAAGCUCUAUCAGCAGGGAAGAAAAUGACGGUACCUGACUAAGAAGCCCCGGCUAACUACGUGCCAGCAGCCGCGGUAAUACGUAGGGGGCAAGCGUUAUCCGGAUUUACUGGGUGUAAAGGGAGCGUAGGUGGCAUGGUAAGCCAGAAGUGAAAGGCGGGGGCCCAACCCCUGGACUGCUUUGGGAACUGUACGGCUGGAGUGCAGGAGAGGUAAGUGGAAUUCCUAGUGUAGCGGUGAAAUGCGUAGAUAUUAGGAGGAACACCAGUGGCGAAGGCGGCUUACUGGACUGUAACUGACGUUGAGGCUCGAAAGCGUGGGGAGCAAACAGGAUUAGAUACCCCAGUA
rnacentral:rRNA from 1 species